rnacentral:rRNA from 1 species
GAUGAACGCUGGCGGCGUGCCUAAUACAUGCAAGUCGAGCGAACGGACGAGAAGCUUGCUUCUCUGAUGUUAGCGGCGGACGGGUGAGUAACACGUGGAUAACCUACCUAUAAGACUGGGAUAACUUCGGGAAACCGGAGCUAAUACCGGAUGAUAUUUUGAACCGCAUGGUUCAAAAGUGAAAGACGGUCUUGCUGUCACUUAUAGAUGGAUCCGCGCUGCAUUAGCUAGUUGGUAAGGUAACGGCUUACCAAGGCAACGAUGCAUAGCCGACCUGAGAGGGUGAUCGGCCACACUGGAACUGAGACACGGUCCAGACUCCUACCGGAGGCAGCAGUAGGGAAUCUUCCGCAAUGGGCGAAAGCCUGACGGAGCAACGCCGCGUGAGUGAUGAAGGUCUUCGGAUCGUAAAACUCUGUUAUUAGGGAAGAACAUAUGUGUAAGUAACUGUGCACAUCUUGACGGUACCUAAUCAGAAAGCCACGGCUAACUACGUG